AGCGAACGCUGGCGGCAGGCCUAACACAUGCAAGUCGAGCGCCGUAGCAAUACGGAGCGGCAGACGGGAGAGUAACACGUGGGAACGUACCCUUUGGUUCGGAACAACCCAGGGAAACUUGGGCUAAUACCGGAUAAGCCCUCACGGGGAAAGAUUCAUCGCCGAAGGAUCGGCCCGCGUCUGAUUAGCUAGUUGGUGGGGUAAUGGCCCACCAAGGCGACGAUCAGUAGCUGGUCUGAGAGGAUGAUCAGCCUCACUGGGACUGAGACACGGCCCAGACUCCUACGGGAGGCAGCAGUGGGGAAUAUUGGACAAUGGGCGCAAGCCCGAUCCAGCCAUGCCGCGUGGGUGAUGAAGGCCCUAGGGUUGUAAAGCCCUUUCGGCGGGGAAGAUAAUGACGGUACCCGCAGAAGAAGCCCCGGCUAACUUCGUGCCAGCCGCCGCAGUAA
rnacentral:rRNA from 1 species